rnacentral:tRNA from 1 species
GCCCGAGUGAUGAAAUUGGUAGACAUACGGGACUUAAAAUCCCGGGAACGCAAGUUCGUGCCGGUUCAAGUCCGGCCUCGGGCA